CCUACGGGAGGCAGCAGUGGGGAAUAUUGGGCAAUGGGCGCAAGCCUGACCCAGCAACGCCGCGUGAAGGAAGAAGGCUCUCGGGUUUUAAACCUUCUUUUUCAGGGACGAAAAAAGUGACGGUACCUGAGGAAUAAGCCACGGCUAACUAGGUGCCAGCAGCCGCGGUCAUACGUAGGGGGCAGGCGUUAACCGGAUUUACUGGGUGUAACGGGCGUGUGGGGGGGUAAGUAAGUAAGAUGUGAAAACCAAGGGCUCAACCGGUGGUCGGCAUUUGAAACUGUUUUUCUUGAGUACAGGAGAGGCAGGCGGAAUUCCUGGUGUAGCGGUGAAAUGCGUAGAUAUCAGGAGGAACACC
rnacentral:rRNA from 1 species